rnacentral:rRNA from 1 species
UACAGAGGUCUCAAGCGUUGUUCGGAUUCAUUGGGCGUAAAGGGUGCGUAGGCGGCGCGGUAAGUCGGGUGUGAAAUCUCGGAGCUUAACUCCGAAACUGCAUUCGAUACUGCCGUGCUUGAGGACUGGAGAGGAGACUGGAAUUUACGGUGUAGCGGUGAAAUGCGUAGAUAUCAGGAGGAACACCGGUGGCGAAGGCGGUUCUCUGGGCAUGAUCUGACGCUGAGGAGCGAAAGUGUGGGGAGCGAACAGG